rnacentral:rRNA from 1 species
GCUUAUGACAUGCCAUGAAGACACUAAAUUCCAUUUGAUCUUAGAAGCGAAGCAGUGUCAGCCCUGGUUAGAACUUGGUUGGGAGCUCACCAAUGAAUGCCGGGAGCCGUAGGCA